rnacentral:rRNA from 1 species
AUUGAACGCUGGCGGAAUGCUUUACACAUGCAAGUCGAGCGGCAGCACGGGGGCAACCCUGGUGGCGAGCGGCGAACGGGUGAGUAAUACAUCGGAACAUGCCCAGUCGUGGGGGAUAACACUUCGAAAGAAGUGCUAAUACCGCAUACGUCCUGAGGGAGAAAGCGGGGGAUCGCAAGACCUCGCGCGAUUGGAGUGGCCGAUGUCAGAUUAGCUAGUUGGUGGGGUAAAGGCCUACCAAGGCAACGAUCUGUAGCUGGUCUGAGAGGAUGAUCAGCCACACUGGGACUGGGACACGGCCCAGACUCCUACGGGAGGCAGCAGUGGGGAAUUUUGGACAAUGGGGGCAACCCUGAUCCAGCCAUUCCGCGUGAGUGAAGAAGGCCUUCGGGUUGUAAAGCUCUUUCGGCAGGAACGAAACGGUGAGCUCUAACAUAGCUCGCUAAUGACGGUACCUGAAGAAGAAGCACCGGCUAACUACGUG